rnacentral:rRNA from 1 species
GACGAACGCUGGCGGCGUGCUUAACACAUGCAAGUCGAACGGAAAGGCCCUGCUUUUGUGGGGUGCUCGAGUGGCGAAAGGGUGAGUAACACGUGAGUAACCUGCCCUUGACUUUGGGAUAACUUCAGGAAACUGGGGCUAAUACCGGAUAGGAGCUCCUGCUGCAUGGUGGGGGUUGGAAAGUUUCGGCGGUUGGGGAUGGACUCGCGGCUUAUCCGCUUGUUGGUGGGGUAGUGGAUUACCAAGGCUUUGACGGGUAGCCGGCCUGAGAGGGUGACCGGCCACAUUGGGACUGAGAUACGGCCCAGACUCCUACGGGAGGCAGCAGUGGGGAAUAUUGCACAAUGGGCGGAAGCCUGAUGCAGCAACGCCGCGUGCGGGAUGACGGCCUUCGGGUUGUAGACCGCUUUCGCCUGUGACGAAGCGUGAGUGACGGUAAUGGGUAAAGAAGCACCAGCUAACUACGUG